GAUGAACGCUGGCGGCGUGCCUAAUACAUGCAAGUCGAGCGAACAGACGAGGAGCUUGCUCCUCUGACGUUAGCGGCGGACGGGUGAGUAACACGUGGAUAACCUACCUAUAAGACUGGGAUAACUUCGGGAAACCGGAGCUAAUACCGGAUAAUAUAUUGAACCGCAUGGUUCAAUAGUGAAAGACGGUUUUGCUGUCACUUAUAGAUGGAUCCGCGCGGCAUUAGCUAGUUGGUAAGGUAACGGCUUACCAAGGCAACGAUGCGUAGCCGACCUGAGAGGGUGAUCGGCCACACUGGAACUGAGACACGGUCCAGACUCCUACGGGAGGCAGCAGUAGGGAAUCUUCCGCAAUGGGCGAAAGCCUGACGGAGCAACGCCGCGUGAGUGAUGAAGGUCUUCGGAUCGUAAAACUCUGUUAUUAGGGAAGAACAGAUGUGUAAGUAACUGUGCACGUCUUGACGGUACCUAAUCAGAAAGCCACGGCUAACUACGUG
rnacentral:rRNA from 1 species